rnacentral:rRNA from 1 species
AUUGAACGCUGGCGGCAGGCCUAACACAUGCAAGUCGAGCGGAGCGGCGGACGGGGGAGUACUGCCUAGGAAUCUGCCUGGUAGUGGCGUAUAACGUCCGGAAACGGGCGCUAAUACCGCAGAUUUUCAGAUGAGCCUAGGUCGGAUUAGCUGGUUGGUGGGGUAAAGGCUUACCAAGGCGACGAUCCGUAACUGGUCUGAGAGGAUGAUCGGUCACACUGGAACGGAGACACGGCCCAGACUCCUACGGGAGGCAGCAGUAGGGAAUAUUGGACAAUGGACGAAAGCCUGAUCCAGCAAUGCCGCGUGAGUGAAGAAGGUUUUCGGAUCGUAAAGCUCUGUAAGUUGGGAAGCGUUACCAACAGAAAAAGCCACGGCUAACUACGUGCCAGCAGCCGCGGUAAUUC